UCGCCGCCGGGGGGCGCAUGCGCAGCCCGUGUUAGUGAUGGAGGAGAGAAGAUGGCGGAAGCGGAAUUCAAGGACCACAGUACAGCUAUGGAUAGUGAAGCAAACCCUGGCACAUCUUCUGUGUCGACAACAGCCAGUAGUACCACCACCACAACUAUUACCACUUCCUCCUCUCGAAUGCAGCAGCCACAGAUCUCUGUCUACAGUGGCUCAGACCGACAUGCUGUACAGGUGAUUCAGCAGGCAUUGCAUCGCCCCCCCAGCUCUGCUGCUCAGUACCUUCAGCAGAUGUACGCUGCUCAGCAGCAGCACUUGAUGCUACACACCGCAGCCCUCCAGCAGCAGCACUUAAGCAGCUCCCAGCUUCAGAGCCUUGCUGCAGUUCAGGCAAGUUUGUCCAGUGGAAGACCAUCUACAUCCCCCACAGGAAGUGUCACACAACAGUCAAGUAUGUCCCAGACAUCUAUCAACCUCUCCACUUCUCCUACACCUGCACAGUUAAUAAGCCGUUCCCAGGCUUCCAGUUCUACCAGCGGCAGUAUUACCCAACAGACUAUGUUACUAGGGAGUACCUCCCCUACCCUAACGGCAAGCCAAGCUCAAAUGUAUCUCCGAGCUCAAAUGCUGAUUUUCACACCCGCUACCACUGUGGCUGCUGUACAGUCUGACAUUCCUGUUGUCUCGUCGUCAUCGUCAUCUUCCUGUCAGUCUGCAGCUACUCAGGUUCAGAAUUUAACAUUACGCAGCCAGAAGUUGGGUGUAUUAUCUAGCUCACAGAACGGUCCGCCAAAAAGCACUAGUCAAACUCAGUCAUUGACAAUUUGUCAUAACAAAACAACAGUGACCAGUUCUAAAAUCAGCCAACGAGAUCCUUCUCCAGAAAGUAAUAAGAAAGGAGAAAGUCCAAGUCUGGAAUCACGCAGCACAGCUGUCACUCGGACAUCAAGUAUUCACCAGUUAAUAGCACCAGCUUCAUAUCCUCCAAUUCAGCCUCAUCCUCUAAUAAAACAUCAGCAGAUUCCUCUUCAUUCACCACCUCCCAAGGUUUCCCAUCAUCAGCUGAUAUUGCAACAGCAGCAACAGCAAAUUCAGCCAAUCACACUUCAGAAUCCAACUCAAGACCCACCCCCAUCCCAGCACUGUAUGCCACUCCAAAACCAUGGCCUUCCUCCAGCACCUACUAAUGCCCAGUCACAGCAUUGUUCACCAAUUCAGAACCAUCCCCCUUCUUUAACAAUGUCUCCUAGCCAGUCACAGUCAGCACAGCAGUCUGUAGUGGUGUCUCCUCCACCGCCUCAUUCACCAAGUCAGUCUCCUACUAUAAUUAUUCAUCCACAAGCACUUAUUCAGCCACACCCUCUUGUGUCAUCAGCUCUCCAGCCAGGGUCAAACCUGCAGCAGUCCACUGCUAAUCAGGUGCAACCUACAGCACAGCUGAAUCUUCCAUCCCAUCUUCCACUUCCAGCUUCCCCUGUCGUACACAUUGGCCCAGUUCAGCAGUCCGCUUUGGUGUCCCCAGGUCAGCAGAUUGUGUCUCCAACAUCACACCAGCCAUAUUCAACCCUGCAGUCCUCUCCAAUCCCAAUUGCAACCCCUCCACAGAUGUCGACAUCUCCUCCAGCUCAGAUUCCACCACUGCCCUUGCAGUCUAUGCAGUCUUUACAAGUGCAGCCUGAAAUUCUAUCCCAGGGCCAGGUUUUGGUGCAGAAUGCUUUGGUGUCAGAAGAGGAGCUUCCAGCUGCAGAAGCUUUGGUCCAGUUGCCAUUUCAGACUCUUCCUCCUCCACAGACUGUUGCGGUAAACCUACAAGUACAACCACCAGCACCUGUUGAUCCACCAGUGGGAAUGCAUUUGAACCAGUGUCAUCUGCACAAAGUUUUUUCUCUUAAGGUUUAUCAAGUAGAAGAUGUGUGUGAAGAAGAAAUGCCAGAAGAGUCCGAUGAAUGUGUUCGGAUGGACAGAACGCCACCACCACCCACACUGUCUCCAGCAGCUAUAACUGUGGGGAGAGAAGAUUUGACUUCUGAACAUCCUUUGUUAGAGCAAGUGGAAUUACCUGCUGUGGCAUCAGUCAGUGCUUCAGUAAUUAAAUCUCCAUCAGAUCCUUCACAUGUUUCUGUUCCUCCACCUCCACUCUUACUUCCAGCUGCUACCACAAGGAGUAAUAGUACUUCUGUACCCAGCAGCAUUCCCAGUAUAGAAAACAAACCUCCACAGGCUAUUGUUAAACCACAGAUUUUAACGCAUGUUAUUGAAGGCUUUGUGAUUCAGGAGGGAUUGGAGCCAUUUCCUGUGAGCCGUUCGUCUUUGCUAAUAGAACAGCCUGUGAAAAAAAGGCCUCUUUUGGAUAAUCAGGUGAUAAACUCAGUGUGUGUUCAGCCAGAGCUACAGAAUAAUACAAAGCAUGGAGAUAAUUCAUCUGACACAGAAAUGGAAGACAUGAUUGCUGAAGAGACAUUAGAAGAAAUGGACAGUGAGUUGCUCAAGUGUGAAUUCUGUGGGAAGAUGGGAUAUGCUAAUGAAUUUCUUCGGUCAAAACGAUUCUGUACUAUGUCCUGUGCCAAAAGGUACAAUGUUAGCUGUUCUAAAAAAUUUGCACUUAGUCGUUGGAAUCGUAAGCCUGAUAAUCAGAGUCUUGGGCAUCGUGGCCGUCGUCCAAGUGGCCCUGAUGGGGCAGCAAGAGAACAUAUCCUUAGGCAGCUUCCAAUUACUUAUCCAUCUGCAGAAGAAGACUUGGCUUCUCAUGAAGAUUCUGUUCCAUCUGCUAUGACAACACGCCUGCGCAGGCAGAGUGAGCGGGAAAGAGAACGUGAGCUCCGGGAUGUGAGAAUUAGGAAAAUGCCUGAGAACAGUGAUUUGCUACCAGUUGCACAAACAGAGCCAUCUAUAUGGACAGUUGAUGAUGUCUGGGCCUUCAUCCAUUCUUUGCCUGGCUGCCAAGAUAUUGCAGAUGAAUUCAGAGCACAGGAGAUUGAUGGACAGGCCCUUCUUUUGCUAAAAGAAGACCAUCUUAUGAGUGCAAUGAAUAUCAAACUAGGCCCGGCCCUAAAGAUCUGUGCACGCAUCAACUCUCUGAAGGAAUCUUAACAGGAUCAUGAAGCUGUAAGAAAACAGCAGUUUUACUCUUCUUAAACAAACUUGUAAGGCUUUUCAAUUUGCUCAAGAUUAUGAAUUGUAAGUGGAAUGAAGCAGCAUUUCCAGUUGACGAAAGGAUCCGCAGGUAAUGCAACAUCUCUCAAAUUAAGCUUGUGAGAAUUAAACCAGUAAACUGUGGCAAUGAGAAAACUAUUGACAAAGUACAACCACGGAAUGUUCAUCUCAAUAUAUGCUGGAAUCUGUACUUUAAGUAGAAGGAUAAUUACUUGAAGUAGUACAAAUGGUAGCCAGGUACCGAGAAAACAGAUAAUGAACUUGGGCAAGAGUGCUUUCUUAGAGCUCAGAGUAUAACUAGAAUGGGAAGAAAAGGGAAAAUACAGAAUAGUCUCAUUCAUAUAGGAAGUCAUCCUAACAGCCUGCACCAAGGCAAUCACUUCUGACCAAGAGGUUAUAAAAGCCAUAAAUAAAAUCAUCACCAUGGAAAAUGACAGCCAGUAACUCUGAAUGCUAAUGUAGAAAGGACAUUGAUAAGCAUAAACACUCUGUGCCUUCAGGCUUUGAUAGAUACCUGGAUCCCUCAAAACAUAAGCAAGGACUGAAAUCCAAAUUAAAAUUACUGUAAAGAAAUAAAAUUUUUUUUUGCAUUUCAAUGCAAGCUUUGGAGUUUUAGAGAAAUUCAGGUAAUAAUCUAUACAAGCUAUCAGGAAAACCGGAUAAUGCAAAAAACCGUAAGUAAAUGAAAUAAUUUGAGUAAAUAGGCAGAUGUGGUAUUUAGUAAACCUAACACCUAAAAGUACAAAAUCUCUGUAGUAGUAUAUAAUGGAAAUGUUUACUAGAAGUAAAAAAUCAAUGAAUGCUAGUGAAAAGCAAAAAUACUCCAUAAAAUUGUGACAGGUGUUUUUUCUUCUCAUUCCUAGUGUGAGGGUAUUUAGUAAUACUUUCCCAAGUAUUAUCAAGAAUAGCAGACAGUUACCAUCUAGGGACCGAUUUGCUUGACGUAACUGGUACUGAAAAGAGCAGUUCCCGGAAGAAAGAGCAGUCAUGUUUUUAGUUGAACUGCAGAAGGCCUGCUGAAAUACACACCACAAAACACUGCUUCACUUUAUUUUCCAUCCCUGUAAAGAAAAAUGGAAAGAAAACCUUGAUGCUAUGUCUAAUUUAAGCCUUUCAAAGCAAGCACCUCUAGUCUCAACAUAUUUAAUCCAGUCAUUUUCCCAAAUAAAUUACAGGUGACCCUUGAACAAGAAGGGGGGUAGGGGUGUUGAUCCCCGGUACAGUGAAAAAUCUGUGUGUAACUUUCAGCUCCACCAGAACUUCACUCCUAAUAGCCUACUGCUGACUGGAAGCCUUACUGACAAGUCAGUGAACAUGUAUUUUGUAGGUUUUAUAUAUAUCCUAUACUAUAUUCUUAGAGUAAAGCUAGUGAAAAGGUUAGGAAAAUCAUAAAAUACAUUUACAGUACUGCACUAUAUCUAUUGAAAAAAAUCAACACGUAAAUGUACCUCUGCACAUCAAAUCUGUGUUGUUCAAGGGUCAACUGUAAAUAUAUAAAUAGGAAUUUAAAUUUCUCAUAAUACAGAAUAUGAUCAAGAAGAAUUAAUGUGUAUACUUUGUUCUUUUUUUUUUUUUUUGAGACCAGGAUGGUCCAGAACUUUAAGAUCUCUAACCAAAAUGUUAUAUAAAAAUUACUCAACUUCUAGAAAAGUACAGGUUUUAGUUACUUGCAGAGAGAAGUAGAAAACGAAUCUACCAGAGCCAAAAAACAGGCUUAAAACAGCAACCUGAUAGUAAGAACAAUCAUUGAUGGCCGUUAACCCAGUCUCACUCUGACUCCAGACAAUGAACAUUACCCCCACUCAACUUUUUGUCUUUUUGUUAGUAAAAUUUAGGAUAGCAAUUUUCAAAGCUUUUUGGCUGUAGGAUCAUCAUUCUGACACUCAAAGAUAGAAAACAGUAAAGCUGAAAAUAAUGACACAGAUAAAGGGAAGAAUGAUAAAAGAUUUAUCUUUGGACAUGACAAAGAUCAUGUUAUGGCACUUGGACAGACAAGACAAAGAAUCCGGGGAAGGAACAGGGGCUGAGAACAUUAAGAAAUGCUAGGUAAAGGCAAAAAGGAACAGGAGUUCAGGCUUGAGUGAUUAAGGCAUUUGGUGGCAGGAAAAAGAGAAGAUGAAAAAGAAAGGUCAGAGGGGAAGAAUGGAAGGAGGGGCAUCUGGAUGGCUCAGCUCAUGGGGCAUGCAACUCGAUCCUGGAGUUGUGAGUUCGAGCCCUACGUUGGGUGUAGAAAUCACUCCAAAUGAAAUGAAAUAAAAAUAAAAUGGAAGGAAAUUCGAGGAAUUUAUCAUAAAAAAACACAACCAAAAGUUUCUCUAAGACUUUUCCACCACAAUGUUUAUAUAAACAACAAAACAAAAACACUAACAAACCCACACAUAAAUGCCAACAAUUGGAGAUGGGUUAAAAAUGAUGCAUGGCACAGGGCACCUAGGUGGCUCAGUCGGUUAAGCGUCCAACUUCGGCUCAGGUCAUUAUCUUGCAGUUCGGGAGUUCAAGCCUCACGUUGGGCUCUGUGCUGACAGCUCAGAUCCUGGAGCCUGCUUCGGAUUCUGUGUCUCCUCUCUCUGCCCCUCCCCCACUUACGCUCUGUCUGUC